rnacentral:rRNA from 1 species
GUCCUAGCCGUAAACGAUGGGCACUAAGUAGAGGGGUUUUGAUUAUCUCUCUGCCGGAGCUAACGCAUUAAGUGCCCCGCCUGGGGAGUACGGCCGCAAGGCUAAAAACUCAAAAAGAAUUGACGGGGGCUCGCACAAGCGGUGGAGCAUGUGGCUUAAUUCGAUGCAACGCGAAGAACCUUACCGGGGUUUGACAUGGUAGAAGUAGGAGCCUGAAAGGGUAACGAACGGUAUCCAGUCCGUGACUAUCACAGGUGUUGCAUGGCUGUCGU